AUGUGCACUAGGCAGCCGACUAUUUCCAGGCUUGGCCUGGCAGUAACUCCUUGGGAAUUGCUCUCCGAAUUGCUCUUUCCACCUGCUGCCCGGUCAGCCGUGAGGAGGCACCUGUCUCUCCCGUCCUCCUGUACAUCUCCUUCUGGGAGAGAAAUAUGUAACAGCUCCAAAUACAACUCCUCAAACCUGGAAUCAGAUUAUACGUUGCCACCCUCAUUACCUCAACCCUACUGGUUUUUGUACAGUACUUGCUUUUUAUAACAGGAGCUGCUGAAAACGCAGCUUCUCAAAGGUAUGACAUCACUGAAAGAAAUUAGUGGGAUCUAAUGUUGAAAUUGUGAAUUACCUUAGCUAACAGGUUGUAUAGUGUCCUACAGAUGUUGAAUAUUACUGUAUUCCCUUCAAAAAUCUAAAAUAUAUUGCAGCCCCCUUGUGAGUUUACUGUGGUACCCAAGAGUGCCCUUUCGUAUAGUUUUGGAAAAUUCAUGUCUAAGUGUAGUUCUACACUGUUUGCCAAUGAUUGGUUCAGGGGUAGGUAUGUGGUUUAAUUUGAGCAACUAAGGCAGGAAGAAUUACUGUUUUAAAAUGUAGAUUUCAUUAUUAUUCAUGUAUUGUGAAGCCAAGGGAUCAGGAGAUGGUUGCCGUUGAAAAGAUAGUUUGAUAUUUCACAAGAUACCAGGGGGAGGGGGUACACAAUGCCAUAGGGGACCACAUGGGGGAAGCACCAGGUUCCGUCAGGAGGUAGAGGGAAUGAGGGGAAAAUGUGAGUAAGAGCCCUUAUUGUGGUUUCUGUGGGAAGGAACAGGCAAAGCAGAGAAAGUUUAGGAUUGGCUAGUUUGAAUAAUUUUGGCAGGCUCCGUGGCAUAGUUCCUGUCCCUUAGCUCUCUGGUACCUGUCCCUGAGGUGGUUAGGACAGGGCAAUAAUGGCCCUGAGUGUGAGAGCUCAGCAGAAGAGGUGACUGGAGUCUUAGCUCUGGAGUGGGUGGUUUGCAUAUGAAAGGCAUACUUGCAGGCCAAGUCAUUUGCUAUCUCCAGGAAUUGGCUAGCCAUCUCAGGGUCAGCAAUGCCCCAGAUGUGAAAGCAUCAGAAACACAUGGUUAACACAAUGACAAGGCAUCUGAAUGCUUUUUCCUGGUGCUUCUGAUACAGCCGUGAUAGUGCUCCCCUGUCUCUCUCUUUGGAGAUGUGAGGCUGGGAACUGAUGCCACAGUCUUGCUACCACUCUGAGGGUGAACCCGAGUCAGGAAGGCAUGUGGACAGAAGAACAUUGCAAAACAACAGAACGGAGUCGUUUGUAUUAACUUUACCCUGACCCUUGUCCAUCUUUGGACUUUCAGUUAUAUGAACCAAAACAUUUUCUUAUUGUUUAAGUCAAUUUAUUGUUGCUCUUUGUUCUUGUUUUUAGAUUUCCUAUUACUUUCAGCUGUGCUGUUCUAACAUUUACAAAACCAGUGUGAAAACCCACAGGAACUAUUUGGAAAGGAUUAAUUUUCUACAGGAAAGGAGACAUUUUCCAAGUCUGCUUUUGAUAAUAUUAAGAUGUGUUACAGAGGUUUGCUGAGCGUUUGCCCUCAUAGAAUAAACGGAGAAUACAAGGCUUUUGGUUGCA
rnacentral:lncRNA from 1 species